rnacentral:rRNA from 1 species
UACGAAGGGGCUAGCGUUGCUCGGAAUCACUGGGCGUAAAGCGCACGUAGGCGGCUUCUAAGUCAGGGUGAAUCCUGGAGCUCAACUCCAGAACUGCCUUGAUACUGGAGAGCUGAGUCCGGAAGAGGUGAGUGGAACUCCGAGUGUAGAGUGAAAUUCGUAGAUAUUAGGAAGAACACCAGUGCGAAGGCGGACUCACUGUCCGGUACGUGACGCUGAGUGCGAAAGCGUGGGAGCAAGCAGGAGUU